rnacentral:rRNA from 1 species
AGUCCAAGGUUUCCAGGGGAAGGUUUGUCCGCCCUGGGGAAGUCGGGACCUAAGCAUAAGCAAAAUUGUGAUGGCGAAUGGAAAACAGGUUAAUAUUCCUGUACCGCUGUUAUCGCCUGAGAGACGGAGUGACGCAGGAAGGUAUGCGGGAAGGCUGACGGAAUAGCCUUUCUAAGGGCGUAGCAUGGGCAUGCAGGAAAAUCCGCAUGCCUAAAUGUGAGACCUGACGGGUAAGUGCAUCUUGCAUAAGCCGCAGAUCCUACACUGCCGAGAAAAACUUCUAUCGAUGAGAAGCAGCGCCCGUACUGUAAACCGACACAGGUGGACAGAGUGAGAAACUUAAGGCCGACAGGAUAACUCUAGCUAAGGAACUCUGCAAAAUAGCCCCGUAACUUCGGGAGAAGGGGUGCCUGACAUACCUGAAGGAGAGAAGCGCUCCAAGGGGAAACAGGCCGCAGUGAAGAGUCUCAAGCAACUGUUUACCAAAAACACAGGUCUAUGCUAAGCUGAAAGGCGACGUAUAUGGGCUGACACCUGCCCAGUGCCGGAAGGUUAAGAGGAGGAUUGAGAGAUCCGAAUUGAAGCCCCGGUGAACGGCGGCCGUAACUAUAACGGUCCUAAGGUAGCGAAAUUCCUUGUCGGGUAAGUUCCGACCUGCACGAAUGGUGAAAUGAUUUGAGAGCUGUCUUGGCUGGAGACCUGGUGAAGUUGUAAUGCCGGUGAAGAUACCGGCUACCUGCAGUAGGACGGAAAGACCCCGUGGAGCUUUACUGUAGCUUGGCAUUGGGUUCUGGCAAUGUGUGUAUAGGAUAGUUGGGAGACUAUGAUGUAAUGGCGUCAGUCAUUGCUGAGUCGCUGUUGGAAUACCAACCAUAUGUUGUCGGAAUUCUAAUCUGGCAACGGAGACAGUGCUAGGUGGGCAGUUUGACUGGGGCGGUCGCCUCCCAAAGAGUAACGGAGGCGUUCAAAGGUUCCCUCAGGCUGGAUGGAAAUCAGCCUAAGAGUGCAAACGCAUAAGGGAGCUUGACUGCAAGACUGACGGGUCGAGCAGGUACGAAAGUAGGAGUUAGUGAUCCGGCGGUUCCGUAUGGAAGGACCGUCGCUCAACGGAUAAAAGCUACCCCGGGGAUAACAGGCUGAUACUUCCCAAGAGUCCAUAUCGACGGAAGUGUUUGGCACCUCGAUGUCGGCUCGUCUCAUCCUGGGGCUGGAGAAGGUCCCAAGGGUUGGGCUGUUCGCCCAUUAAAGAGGCACGCGAGCUGGGUUCAGAACGUCGUGAGACAGUUCGGUCCCUAUCCACUGCAGGCGCUUGAAUACUGAAAAGAUCUGACCUUAGUACGAGAGGACCGGGUUGGACAGACCUCUGAUGCAUCAGCUGUCACGCCAGUGGCACGGCUGAGUAGUCACGUCUGGCACGGAUAACCGCUGAAAGCAUCUAAGCGGGAAGCCAGCUUUGAGAUGAGUAUUCGCAGUAUCCAUAGAGAACAUAUGGUUGAUAGGCUGGGGGUGCAAGUGCAGCAAUGCAUUCAGCUGACCAGUACUAAUAUUACGUCUGCUUUUAAGUU